UUGUCCCUACGGGACGCAGCAGUGAGGAAUGUUGGUCAAUGGGCGGUAGCCUGAACCAGCCAAGUAGCGUGAAGGAUGAAGGUUCUAUGGAUUGUAAACUUCUUUUAUAAAGGAAUAAAGUGAGGCACGUGUGCCUUUUUGUAUGUACUUUAUGAAUAAGGAUCGGCUAACUCCGUGCCAGCAGCCGCGGUAAUACGGAGGAUCCGAGCGUUAUCCGGAUUUAUUGGGUUUAAAGGGUGCGUAGGCGGAUUUUUAAGUCAGCGGUAAAAUGUCCGGGCUCAACCCGGGCCGGCCGUUGAAACUGG
rnacentral:rRNA from 1 species